UACGUAGGAUCCAAGCGUUAUCCGGAAUUACUGGGCGUAAAGAGUUUGUAGGCUGUUAUAUAAGUUGAAUGUGAAAUCUGGUGGCUCAACCAUUCUAGACUAUGUUCAAAACUGUAUAACUUGAGGUUGGCAGAGGCAAGCGGAAUUACUAGUGUAGCGGUGAUAUGCGUAGAUAUUAGUAAGAACACCAAUGGCGUAGGCAGCUUGCUGGGCCAAAUCUGACGCUAAAGAACGAAAGCGUGGGUAGCAAACAGG
rnacentral:rRNA from 1 species